UGAAUUGUGAAGGGUUCUGAAUAUUGGU
rnacentral:piRNA from 1 species